rnacentral:rRNA from 1 species
AUUGAACGCUGGCGGCAUGCCUUACACAUGCAAGUCGAACGGUAACGCGGGGCAACCUGGCGACGAGUGGCGAACGGGUGAGUAAAGCAUCGGAACGUGCCCAGUAGUGGGGGAUAGCCCGGCGAAAGCCGGAUUAAUACCGCAUACGACCUAUGGGUGAAAGGGGGGGGAUCGCAAGACCUCUCGCUAUUGGAGCGGCCGAUGUCAGAUUAGGUAGUUGGUGGGGUAAAGGCCUACCAAGCCGACGAUCUGUAGCUGGUCUGAGAGGACGACCAGCCACACUGGAACUGAGACACGGCCCAGACUCCUACGGGAGGCAGCAGUGGGGAAUUUUGGACAAUGGGCGCAAGCCUGAUCCAGCAAUGCCGCGUGCAGGAAGAAGGCCUUCGGGUUGUAAACUGCUUUUGUCAGGGAAGAAAUCCUCUGGGUUAAUACCUCGGGGGGAUGACGGUACCUGAAGAAUAAGCACCGGCUAACUACGUGCCAGCCGCCGCGGUAA